CCCCCCCCCCCCCCCACAGGAGCCGCCAGCGGUGUCCCACGCCCUACUCCGCCCGCCGAUGCCGCGUCCUUCACGGGACGCCGGCGGCCUUGCUCAGCCCGUGGCUGCUCACCUGCUUGCGCCGCCCUGCUUGCAAGAACGGUCAUCGGGUGGAAGCAGCCGAGGGGGUCGGAGAGGGAGGCGGGGUCGUGGUGGUGGUCAGCAUCGUAGCCGGAGAGGGCCAGGGACAGUCGACGGGAGCCGCGGCCGAAGAGGAGCAUCUCGCAGUCUCCCGCGGCCGCGUCGCAGCGGUGGAGCAGCGCCGCCCCCUCGUCGGCAUUGGCAAUGCCUAGAGUAGCACGAGCAAGGAGAAGAAGGCUACCGUGAAGGUCGGGACGGCAUCCUCGACGUCAAUUUGGUUUUUGCAAGGUGGCACUUGCAGGAUGCUGCUCUUACAACUCUGUGGGCUCGAGGCCGCCGGCGAUGACAUGCAGAGCCGCCGGCCGUCGACGGUGGCAGUCAGGACAGAGGGGUGGGGGGCGGGAGAGGACGGGAGGAGUAGCAGCGGUCAUGGCAAAACUGUGGCAUCCAGAGAAGAGUCGGCCAGGACGAAGAUUGGGGGGAUGGAGGAGUAUCAUGGCCUUGGCGAGAUUUGGUUCUCUAGCUCUCUUGAUUUGGAUCGAUUUGGAUCGCAUUGCUCGAGUUCGUGUUAGAGAUGGACGUGAGGAGGCAGAGAGGGGGAAGGAGGCGGAUCGGGGCGUGCGUGCGAGGAGGAUGCGGGGCAAGGAAGAGAUUAGGGAUUUGGAUCGGAUUGCUCGAGUUCGUGUUAGAGAUGGGAUGUGAGGAGGCAGGGUGGGGGGAGUUCGUGUUUGACUUGGAUGGGAUUUUGUGCCAGGGAGACGACGUACGGGCAACGCCCGUGGUUCUCACCACCAACUACAAUUUAAUAGAUAGUAAUAAAUUCUCAAGCCUUCUAGAAUAUUUCAAUCUUCUCAUAUUCACUGGAAAGCUCCUUGUAAAUAUCUUCCUCCUCCAAUAAUCCAAAUUAUUUUAUAAUCUUCUCAAAUAUGCAUUGCUAAUUCUCAACUCAACACUUUGGAAAAAAACUACGAAUGAUUUUAUUCUUGUAUUCUUGCAAUCUGCAAACACAUGCAUGGGAGUAGAUAUAUUCAACCCACUACAAUGCUAUUGUCACUCCUGUCCUUUUGGUUGCAGCCUAUUGAUUGUUCUGGACUACAGAAAUGUUGGAACAACCACAACUCAUCUGUCCAGUUACGGUUGAGGUUCUUACGCACAAAGGCAUCUAACCAGCAGUAUUUGUGUUCUGGAGUAGUGGAUAAAUAAACUAUAAUUUAUUUUUUCUUGUAACAUGGAGACUUAUGCUUGUAAUAAGCAAUAAUAAAGGAAAUCAGAAGUUUUAGGUACCUUAUGUUCUUGUAUAAUUGCGGUCAAAAUGUUCUUGUAUAAUGUGGUUAUUUUGGCCAUUUACACAAUGCUAUCAUGUGUUCAUUU